rnacentral:rRNA from 1 species
AGAACGAACGCUGGCGGCAGGCUUAACACAUGCAAGUCGAACGCCCCGCAAGGGGAGUGGCAGACGGGUGAGUAACGCGUGGGAAUCUACCCAGUUCUACGGAAUAACACAGGGAAACUUGUGCUAAUACCGUAUACGCCCUACGGGGGAAAGAUUUAUCGGGAUUGGAUGAGCCCGCGUUGGAUUAGCUAGUUGGUGGGGUAAUGGCCUACCAAGGCGACGAUCCAUAGCUGGUCUGAGAGGAUGAUCAGCCACACUGGGACUGAGACACGGCCCAGACUCCUACGGGAGGCAGCAGUGGGGAAUAUUGGACAAUGGGCGCAAGCCUGAUCCAGCCAUGCCGCGUGAGUGAUGAAGGCCUUAGGGUUGUAAAGCUCUUUCGAGUGGGGAAGAUAAUGACGGUACCCACAGAAGAAGCCCCGGCUAACUUCGCGCCAGCAGCCGC